CCUAGAAGGACCUGGCACCCAGACCACUUCAUUAAGCUGAAGUGGUCUGGGUGCCUAGAGUGGUCCUUUAAGGGGUUCACUACACCUACUGAACCAGUAACAUUGUUGAAUUGAUCACAUUCUAACCAUUUCGAUAUAUUUCAAAAGCACUUCAACCAUUGUAGAUUCAGUAAAAACAAACAAUCUCUGUAACACACAUUUAACAUUCAAGAUGAGUUAUCAAUAGAUUAAUAAAACUAUCAAUUACAACACCAAAAUAACUUGAUAAACCACAGACGUGAAAGCAGCAUCAAACCGAAGCUAACAUUUCUUAAGCAGUGUAACUGAAAUAACACGUGCCACAUAUAACAUUAUUAACGCUCUAUAAAAAGGGAACUACAAGGCUAAUUGUGGUAAUACUGCAGGAGCAGCAACAGUACCCCCACCACCACCACUAAGGAUUUGUGGUGCACAGGAGAGCUAUUCAGUUUCUGAAAGAGAAGGACACAGGUAUCCCCACCAACAGCCAAGACCCAAUGUUUCAGUAAAUGAUGCCACAUGGGAAAAAACACAUGGGAGGUAUCACUUGAAACAUUCUCGAUUUGCAUGGUAUUCUAAAAGAUGUCUUGGGAUCACAGUCUCAGGGAAAUAGAGUAGUACCCAGGCUGGCAUGCAUGCAGAGUUGCUUACGUUUUGUGUCCUUUUGCACUUUUAUUUAUUUAUUUUUUCAUGCUGG